UACGUAGGGAGCAAGCGUUGUUCGGAUUUACUGGGCGUAAAGGGCGCGUAGGCGGCGCGGUAAGUCACUUGUGAAAUCUCUGAGCUUAACUCAGAACGGCCAAGUGAUACUGCAGUGCUGGAGUGUAGAAGGGGCAAUCGGAAUUCUUGGUGUAGCGGUGAAAUGCGUAGAUAUCAAGAGGAACACCUGAGGUGAAGACGGGUUGCUGGUCUAACACUGACGCUGAUGCGCGAAAGCCAGGGGAGCAAACGGGAUUAGAAACCCC
rnacentral:rRNA from 1 species